AAUGAACGUUGGCGGCGUGGAUUAGGCAUGCAAGUCGAGCGAGAAUCUCCGCAAGGGGAGGAAAGCGGCGAAAGGGAUAGUAACACGUAGGUACCUACCCCCGGGCCUGGGAUAGCGGCGGGAAACUGCCAUUAAUACCAGAUAACGUCUCCGGACCAAAGGUGUGAUUCCGUCUGGGGUGGGGCCUGCGUCCUAUCAGCUAGUUGGUGAGGUGAUGGCCCACCAAGGCUAUGACGGGUAGCGGGUGUGAGAGCACGACCCGCAUCACUGGGACUGAGACACUGGCCAGACACCUACGGGUGGCUGCAGUCGAGAAUCUUCCGCAAUGGGCGCAAGCCUGACGGAGCGACGCCGCGUGCGGGAUGAAGGCCUUCGGGUUGUAAACCGCUGUCAGUGGGGAGGAAAUGCAUGGGGGUACUCCCCUGUGUUUGACCGAUCCGCAGAGGAAGCACAGGCUAAGUUCGUGCCAGCCGCCGCCGUAAGAC
rnacentral:rRNA from 1 species